AUUGAACGCUGGCGGCGUGCUUAACACAUGCAAGUCGAGCGGUAACAGGCGUAGCAAUACGUGCUGACGAGCGGCGAACGGGUGCGUAAUACAUCGGAAUCUGCCUCGUAGUGGGGAGUAACCCGGCGAAAGCCGGGCUAAUGCCGCAUACGAUCCACGGAUGAAAGCGGGGGACCGUAAGGCCUCGCGCUAUGAGAUGAGCCGAUGUCGGAUUAGCUAGNGGUGAGGUAACGGCUCACCAAGGCGACGAUCCGUAGCUGGUCUGAGAGGACGGCCAGCCACACUGGGACUGAGACACGGCCCAGACUCCUACGGGAGGCAGCAGUGGGGAAUAUUGGACAAUGGGGGAAACCCUGAUCCAGCGACGCCGCGUGUGUGAAGAAGGCCUGCGGGUUGUAAAGCACUUUCGGU
rnacentral:rRNA from 1 species